GACGAACCGUGCGAACGUUGUUCGGAAUCACUGGGCUUAAAGGGCGCGUAGGCGGGCCGCCGCGUCCGGGGUGAAAUCCUCCCGCUCAACGGGAGAACGGCCUCGGAUACGGGCGGCCUGGAGGCGGGUAGGGGCACGCGGAACUGUGGGUGGAGCGGUGAAAUGCGUUGAGAUCCACAGGAACUCCGGUGGCGAAGGCGGCGUGCUGGACCCGAUCUGACGCUGAGGCGCGAAAGCCAGGGGAGCGAGCGGG
rnacentral:rRNA from 1 species